rnacentral:rRNA from 1 species
AUUGAACGCUGGCGGCAUGCCUUACACAUGCAAGUCGAACGGCAGCAUAGGAGCUUGCUCCUGAUGGCGAGUGGCGAACGGGUGAGUAAUAUAUCGGAACGUGCCCUAGAGUGGGGGAUAACUAGUCGAAAGAUUAGCUAAUACCGCAUACGAUCUACGGAUGAAAGUGGGGGAUCGCAAGACCUCAUGCUCCUGGAGCGGCCGAUAUCUGAUUAGCUAGUUGGUGGGGUAAAAGCCUACCAAGGCGACGAUCAGUAGCUGGUCUGAGAGGACGACCAGCCACACUGGGACUGAGACACGGCCCAGACUCCUACGGGAGGCAGCAGUGGGGAAUUUUGGACAAUGGGGGCAACCCUGAUCCAGCAAUGCCGCGUGAGUGAAGAAGGCCUUCGGGUUGUAAAGCUCUUUUGUCAGGGAAGAAACGGUUUUGGAUAAUACCCAGAGCUAAUGACGGUACCUGAAGAAUAAGCACCGGCUAACUACGUGCCAGCCGCCGCGGUAAAAC